UCUAAUAGUACUUUGAUUAACCUAAUCGUUUCCGAAAUCGCUUCUCACUUAUCGCGCCUCUCACAGUCUCACCUUCAUUACUAAAACGCUUUUCAUUUCUGCACAUUCUUGUUCGAGAGCUUCUCACUUCCAAGUUUCUUCUUCGAGCAUAAUCUUGACGCCAAUCCAACAGUGUGACCUUCAACUACUGAACGUGGAUACCGUCGUAGUUCAAAAGGAAUUUACUAGGAGCAGCAAUCCAGUGACUUGUCCUUGUUCUAAAAAAUAGCUUGAUUAUGGAAUCAACUCGUCUGAACUAAACGAUCCAAGUGAAAAUGCAACAUUUCUUCCUUUUGGAUCUGAAACAAAGGCAUGAAGUGUAUGCGAGCAACUCUCACAAGCGACAUGUGAUAAAGGUUGGAACCACGAUACAGUUUUUGGUCAAGAGGAAAAAUUUAGAUGUAGAGACAUGGAAGUGAAGAUAGCAGGACAUUCAAAGUUAUGGAUACAUCAACAUACAAAUAUAAAAAAAAAAAAUAUUUUUAUUUUAUUUUAUGUGAAAAUUUGGAUAUAUACUAAGAU